rnacentral:piRNA from 7 species
UCUGGGUCGGGGUUUCGUACGUAGCAG